CGGGAUGUAGCUCAGCUUGGCUAGAGCGCUUGGUUCGGGACCAAGAGGCCGUGGGUUCGAAUCCCACCAUCCCGA
rnacentral:tRNA from 1 species